UUAUCUUGGAUGAUAAGGAGACGUUGUAGCGACGCAAAGAUUAGAAAACAACAAAAAGAUUAGAAAAAAUUUCAAAUACCACUCAUGUGGUUGCGCACUUUCUCAUUUUAGUACCCUAUGAUUUAAAGUGUAUAUAUCAUCAUUUUCAUACUUGUGAUUUUAUUUUUCUCUUUUUGUUAUCCUUUGCACUAAUAUUUUUUGUUGAAUCAGUGACAAAGGUAAAACUAAAAGGUACUAAAGUGAAUAUUUGAUAAACUAUAGGUGAGAUAUCUGAAAUUUUUUGUAUAUGAUUUAACGGAAAGUUAGCGGAGGGGUUGACAAAAAGAGAAAAAUAAAAUCAUAGGGUACUAAAUUGAUACACUUUAAAUCAUAUAAUACUGAAGUGAGAAAGUACGAAACCACAGUGGUGAUAUCUGAAGUUUACCAAAAAGAUCAAUUA
rnacentral:lncRNA from 1 species